rnacentral:lncRNA from 1 species
CAUGGGCUCUCUAAAGCCGCCAGAAAGUGGAAUGGGGUGUCUGCUGUCUCUGGGCGAAGAACAGCAGGAGAAUUUGUGAGUGGUCAGCCUGGGGACAGUGACACUGGAGAUGUGCGUUCAUGAGAAUUCUCCAUUUUUUUCUUUCAGCCUUUGAAUGAAUACAACGUUGCCCGGUUGGAAUAUUAUCGCUUUUACGAGAAAAAUAGCAUAAAAAUAGAUUUUAAACAGCGUUUGACAUGCUUCGAAGUACGGUAAUGGAAUAUUUUGAAUUUUUUGGUCACGAAAUGCACUCGCGCGUCACCCUUCGGAUAGUGACCUGAACGCACAAACAAAACAGAGCUAUUUGAAUAUAACUAUGGAUUAUUUGGAACCAAAACAGCAUUUGUUGUUGAAGUAGAAGUCCUGGGAGUGCAUUCUGACGAAGAACAGCAAAGAUCUCAGAAGAUUCAGAACAAUUGAGUCUCCAUUUGUGAUGCCCCUGGGGGAAAGAGCUUGAUGGAGGCCCAUGACCUCUCCCUGUCUCAUCGAUGGCCAUCUGGCAUACACAGUAAGACACCUCCUGAAUGUUCGACCUUGGGGCAGGG